UCAGUCACACAUCCGUCUGUGGUUGACGAAUAAACUCUCUGUUUAUUUACUCAGUAUGUCCAAGGUUGCAGCCAGCCCAGCCACAUACAGGAGCAUGGGGACGCAUGGAAGGAGCGACAUGGAAAACAUACUGAGAGCAAAUACUAUCAUCAUCCCGAGAAGCAGUAACUCCGAAAGUCUAGAAGAUGAAUUCUUCCAAAAUGUGAUGCGAUAUAGAGCGAAGGGAUCAAAGUUAAAAAAGGAUUUCCCCCACCUCGUCAUAUUUCAAGUUUCAUCUCGCAUUAAGGAUGAAGAGGAACUCAUUGUGAACACUUUAAUGGGUUUGCCUUCAGCAAUUCUUAUCAUUGCGUCAGUCGGAAAAGAUUCUGAAGUAAGCAUCGACCUUCCAAGCAACGUGAAAUCUACCGUCAAACAAACUUUGCGUCUGUUUUUAAAAAAUGGACACAUUGUCUUCAAUGACAGCGAAAACAAAUGCAUGUUUCACCGUGUGCUGUUGCAUUGCUGUCAAAAGGAGCCUAAAUGGCGGAGAUAUUUGAAGAAAAUCGCCUUUGUUGGCGACAUGUGUUUAAUAAUUGUAACGGUGCCAUUCUUAAUUGUAUGGUUUGGUUUUAAAUUAAUGCGGAGAGUUAUUGUAUAAUUUACUGUGAACUAAACCGUAUCCCUUAAGAUAGAGAAGAUAUCGCUUUACAUACCCAAAAUGUUUAACCAUUUCCUACCUGAAAAUAUUUUUUUAUUCCAUUUUUCAUCAUAUUUUACAUUUCAAUAUCAUACAUAGAGUGUGCAUGGAUUUGUUGUGACAUUAUUGGCAUGUUUGUAGCAUUGACAGAUCAUAUAUCGUAGUUAUACAGGGUUUCUAAAUAAUACAUGUAGAGAACACCAGAAGGCAUGCAAACUUUCAUAAUAACAAUUUGAAUAUGCAAUACAUUUUGUAUUUUCAUAAUAUCGAAGUAUUUCUUUUUGAAUUAGUAAAAGGAGUGGUUUGACUUUUUUCUAUUAAAUGUGUACAGCAUAGAUUUUGUUACCAUAAUUCCUUCAUUGAGUGAAUUGUUAUUCUUCUCUUUAAAUCCAAACAGUAUGUGUUCAUUUUUAAAAUUAACUCUGCCUUCUGUAUAGUUUCCAAGCCAAUCUGAAAGUUUCGUCAAUAUAUCAGCAGCAUAGUGACAAUAACAUAAUACAUGAGUAAUUGUUUUCAGAAAGUAAAUGUUCAAUACAUAAUGAGCAAACUGGCGAUUCAACAUAUCCAAAUUUAAAUAAAUAACAGUUAGUACUCAAAAUAUUAUGUAUAACUUUAAACUGAAACCAUCCUAAUUCAGAACUUUGUGUACAUGUUUUUGCCAUAAGGUUAAAGUUUGUCCACUCUGUAUCUGUAUACUGUUUUUCAAGGAAAUCUUCCCAUUUACUGCAGCACUUAUGUUUUAUAAAUUUAGGGUUUAAUAGGGCUUCAUAAAAUACCUAGCUUCCCGGUUUAUUGUUUAUUUUUUAUACAUUAUAUGGCAGUAUAGGUCUUUGGCAAACUUUAGCACAAUGUAUUAUAUUGUUAUUCUGUAAAUACCUGACUAUUGAUAGUUUUACUCCUUGAUGGGUCAAAAAGUCUGUCUUCAAACUGUAUUUUUGUACAAAUUCGUCAAAAUCAUAUAAUUUCCCUGUGUCAUGAAUGAAGUCAUUUAUAUAUGGUAUACCCUUUUGAUGCCAUUGUGGAAAAUAAAUAGACUUACCAUCAAUUUUGAUUUCAUUAUUAUACCAGACAGAUUUGCACAUCAUAUCCUCGCCAGAUUGUUUAACAUUAUCACAACAAUUCAAGCACACUGACCACCAUAACAAAACUUCCUUCCAAAAGUUAUUGUUGAUGUUUGGAAUAAUCUUUUCGUUAAUAUAGGCAGCAUCAGCCAGGUAAAUUACAUUCGCGCUAGCAACAUUUAAAAAAGAAAGAAAGCUGUCCAUGUGGAAUUACCAUGAACCAGUCUCUUAAUCCAGCUUAAUUUUUGUGCGUCGAUUACCAUUUCCACCACUUGGACACUGAUGCCGCCAUAUUUAGGAUGUAAUGACAUAAUUUUCCUUUUAACUCUGUCAGGUUAAGAUCUCCAGAUGAAGUGAAAACAUUUUGACUGAAACUUUUCUUUUACAAUUUUGGGUGGGCUUGUUAUACUGCAAAACAGGUGAUUGAGUUUGGGUAACAACAAUGAUUUUAGUACAACAUUUCUACCCAUAGGUGUCAGGGUUCUCUUUUCCCACAUUUUCCUUUCCUUUCUAUCUUAUCAAACUUGUUUGUAUAGUUGUUAUGAGAAUCCAUUAUACAUGUAUAUUUACUAUACGUAUAUGUAGAAUAUAUUAAAUGUACUUUGUUAUCAUGAAAUGUAUAUUCCUACCUUUUCAUAUAUUAUGUUGCUUGUGUACAGAUUGCCAGUGAUCAACACUGACCAAUUACACACUUCACUUCACAUUGUCUAUAUGUAAGCCCUGGUAAGCCCACAGCCAAGUUAAGGCUGAUGUUAUGCAAUUGUGGCUUGGCUAUUGCUCAACGGGUAGACAAAGUGGUCAGUUCCCAGGUCGGGUUGGAGGUGUUAACUGACAUGCCAUGUCGGCAAGAUUUUAAACUUUAAUUGUGUAUGCCAUGUCGGCAAUUUGUGAACUAUGGUGUAUUAUGGAUUACACGAAACAUUCACUGGAUCUUGUUUGGAAAUGAUGUGAUUUUUCAUCAUAAAGUAAGACUGUUUAUAUUGUGAUUGAUACUUGCUUUUGCUGUUUGUAAAUAAUAUGAAUCUUGAUUAGACUGCCAGUAUUAAAUUAUUUUUAAAUUGU
rnacentral:lncRNA from 1 species